rnacentral:SRP_RNA from 2 species
CGUUGGGUCUUGCGCAAUAGGAACUCAUGAACCCCGCCAGGUCCGGAAGGAAGCAACGGUAAGUGACAAUUCUUAUGUGCCGCGAGGGAGCCUGACGGCU